AAAUAAGAGGUGCCCAAAUUCUUUCAUAUGAAGGGCCAAAUUGUGUCUGGAUGGAAGGCCAUGGGCCAAAAAUAAAUGUUGAAUGUUGAAGAAUAACGUAAUUUGUGCCUUUCUCCAUAGACACAGCGUACAUACUGUAUGUAAUUUAAAUGGGAAUUUUACCUGCACUGUGCUUUACAUUGGCGUUAAACUCAGAUUACUAUUUAAAUGAACAAAAUGUACAUAAGUAAGAGCAUGUCAAAUCCAUGGCGGGCCAAAACAAAGAUAGCACGGGCCAAACUUGGCCCACGGGCCCCAAAUUGGGCGGCCUUGGUUUAAAUAAACCACGCAGAAGAUGCAAAGUUGCUAAAUGUAUUAUUCACAAUAAAAUGAUGGUGAUGAAA